rnacentral:rRNA from 1 species
ACUCCUACGGGAGGCAGCAGUGGGGAAUAUUGCGCAAUGGGGGAAACCCUGAUGCAGCAACGCCGCGUGAGUGAUGAAGGCCUUCGGGUUGUAAAGCUCUGUCUUCAGGGACGAUAAUGACGGUACCUGAGGAGGAAGCCACGGCUAACUACGUGCCAGCAGCCGCGGUAAUACGUAGGUGGCAAGCGUUGUCCGGAUUUACUGGGCGUAAAGGGAGCGUAGGCGGAUAUUUAAGUGGGAUGUGAAAUACCCGGGCUUAACUUGGGUGCUGCAUUCCAAACUGGAUAUCUGGAGUGUUGGAGAGGAAAGUGGAAUUCCUAGUGUAGCGGUGAAAUGCGUAGAGAUUAGGAAGAACACCAGUGGCGAAGGCGACUUUCUGGACAAUAACUGACGCUGAGGCUCGAAAGCGUGGGGAGCAAACAGGAUUAGAUACCCUGGUAGUC